GGUCACUGCAUGGAUCAGUUCAUCCCUGUUUGCAGUGCCAUGAGAAAACAUUAUUUACCAGGUUGAACUAAGCAUUGGAUAUUAUUCUUUUGGGGGAAAGCCUGACUGUAUUAAAAUCAUUGAAAAGUCUGAGAUUUAAUUCCAGGAAAGUAAGAUCAGAUCAGGACUCUGCAGGUGUAAGAGAUGUAGGAACUCUGCUGGCUUGUCAUGCUGAGCUGCAAGCUUUCAGGGCUGGAAAUAACCCUGUGGAGAAGUGCAGCCCUGCUCUCACCUCUCCAGAAGCACUGGAGCACUGAGUGAUCUUAAACCACCAAAAGAAAACACAAAUGAAGUGGAAAAAUUAGUAGUACGCUGUUAAGGUAAUUCAAAUGUGAUUUUUUUUUCUCUUCUUCCUUCUUGCAUGUUAAAGAAGAGUUCAGCAUUUCAUCCCUCUCUAAGAGGCCAGACAAGCCCACUGAAGCACAAGGUGACAGGGAGAAGAGAGGGAAAGUCUGAAGAACACAUCACAGAAACAGAGUGGAAGAACAACAUAAUUUGGAUGAAUAAAAGUGCUUAAUUCUGCUAAAUGUGAACUAGCUUUCAGAAGUGUUACUGUAGCUGGUUCUUAAUGCAUACAUGCAUUGGUGGCUCAGAGGCUGGAGGAGAGGACCAGCGGUACUGCAGGAUCCCUGCUCGGUGCCUGCCAUCAGUGAACCCUACUGCUGCACAAUGCACAUCUGACCCCAAAGCAAUGGAAGAAGAGUGAUAACAGAAAUGAACACUGCUGACAAGGUAAACAGAGAGACAUGGCAACCUGCUUGUUAGAGACAGCUAAUGCUUGAGGGAACUCCGCAUUCAACACCACUGCAAGAAAAAAAACCUAAAGGCUGCACAGCCCCAGAUCUCAACCUGUCCUCAAAGGAGAAGUGUUCCAUCCCUUGCACCAUUUUUGUGGUCCUCCUCUGGAUGCACUCCAACCGAUCCUUGUAUUUCCUGUACUGAAGACUCCACAUCUGGACACACUACUCCAGACGGCAGCAGUGGGGCAGUCUGACAGAAUGGCCUCUAACAUGGAAGCGCAUAUGGAGAAAAGGUGUGGGAUUCAGUUCCUCCAAGAAGAAAAAAUGGCAACUCUUGACAUACACUGAUGCUUUCUGAACAUUUAUGGAAACCAACCAUUAAAUGUGAGCCCAGUGAGGCAGUGUGAUGCAUUUCAUCAGUGGUGACAGUGACAUGAAACACAAGCCAUACUCCGGAUGGCCAUGCAAAAUUUUAUAAGCAUGGCAUGAAGGCUCUUGUGGUGAGAAUGCACACUAAUGGUGGUACAUGAAUCCACAAGGUAUCCACCUCUCUUUUAGAAGAAAGAACUGUCCAUGGCUUGCUCAGAGCACAUGGGGUCUGGCCAAGAUGAAUGCAGAGGACUCUGAGCAGGACAUUGCUGAAGAAAAACUCUGAACAUGUUUUCUUCAGGAUUCAGUGUAGAGAAUGGGAUGGAAAAUAAGUCCAGCUCUUCUGGGUGACCACGAGGAGAGGAGCACAAGAGUCCUAAAUCCACUUUGGAUGCAAAAGAUGAGUGAUGGACCCUGGGUCCCCCAGGACUGACCUACAUGGACAGUUCCCUGAGCAAGGAAGGAGACAUUUCCUACAAAACUGUGUUCAAGAUCUGCUUUCAUUUGAACCUGUCCUGAAGUCAAAGAAGUUAAUGUGGCUUUAUCUGAGAGCAGAAUUUUGUCUAAAAUCUUCAUUACAUGCCAAUUCCACCAGGAUAAUUCAUAGUUAAGGCCUCUGAACAAAUUUAAAAUAAUCCUCUUUUGCUUCAUAUAAUGAAUAGAAUAGAUGGAAUUGCUUUCACAGACUUUCUGAGGAAAUUGAAGCAAUGUGUUAAAGUUUUAACAGUUUUUAUUUCUCUUUUCAGAUCUUAACCCAGUAUCAAAUAUUAAUGUCCUAAUAUGUUUAAGGAAAGCUGAAGUUGCUGUUAUAAUUAAUUUCGUAUCUGAGGAAAAAAAAGAAAAAAGUAUUGCUAACCACUUUUGGAAAGAAUUACACCAGCUCAGUUGAAAGCUUGUACAGAUCACCUGAAACAGCAUGCAAUAAUUUCAUGAAAUCGUACUGGAAGAGGAAAAGGACAAUUUCACAGCAAAGGGCUCACCAUUCCAGACCACAUUCAUUUUGCCUAAAUCUGGCCAAAGAAGGACUGUGCAUGAUUAGUAUAUACAAUAGAAGAAAAAUGGAGAACCAGGGGUGAAAUCAUAGGUUGACUGAUGUCAUGAAAAUAAUGUCCAUAGAGGAGGACUUCAUGCCAAAACCCAGGAGCAGACAGAUUUCUGAGAAAGAUCUUGAUCAUCAAUAACUCCUGCUAAUUCAGUGGAAAUCAUAGCAUUUGGUCCUGGGCCAAGCUCUCCUCCACCCAAUACCAGCACUGCUCAAUGUUGCGGUUUUUGUUAACCCACUUCUUCCAUUCUCCUCUCAGCUUUACAAUAAGUAUG
ensembl:lncRNA